GAUGAACGCUAGCGGCAGGCCUAAUACAUGCAAGUCGAACGGUGUCUUCGGACAUAGUGGCGCACGGGUGCGUAACACGUAUGCAACCUACCUUACAUUGGGGGAUAGCCUUUCGAAAGGGAGAUUAAUACCGCAUAAGACAGUAGCUGGGCAUCCAGCAGCUGUUAAAGAUUUAUCGAUGUAAGCUGGGCAUGCGUCCAAUUAGCUCGUUGGUGAGGUAACGGCUCACAAAGGCAAUGAUUGGUAGGGGAACUGAGAGGUCAAUCCCCCACACUGGCACUGAGAUACGGGCCAGACUCCUACGGGAGGCAGCAGGAGGGAAUAUUGGGCAAUGGACGCAAGUCUGACCCAGCCAUGCCGCGUGCAGGAUGAAGGCGUUAUGCGUUGUAAACUGCUUUUAUACAGGAAGAAACGACUCUUGCGAGAGGCAUUGACGGUACUGUAUGAAUAAGCACCGGCUAACUCCGUGCCAGCAGCCGCCGUAACAC
rnacentral:rRNA from 1 species